rnacentral:lncRNA from 1 species
GAUUACAGAAAUCAAACAGAAGCCCACUAGAUAGCAAGUAACCGCAAUCAUAGCAAAGAUAUUACACACACACACACACACACACACACACACACACACACACACAAACUCUGUAUAAAAUCCAAUGUGCCUAUAAUAAAAUAAAAUAAAAAUAAGGACACUUUCUCAUAGCUUGUGUCUGCCGUUACUGCCAGAAAUGAUUACAUAUUCUCGUUGGAUGUGUCCGUUUGGUUUCAGAUAUCUGUGGUUCUGACUAAGCCAGCCUGUACAGGGGCAACACAGACAACCAGAAAUACAUAGAUUUCAUGACCUCCUCAGUCUAUGUAACUAACCAUGUAAUAUAAUAACACUGUACAAAAGCACUUGAUAGUAAAAUAAUUCCUAAGAA